UAUUCAUUGAAUUGAUUUGACUGAUAGAGCUUCUAAAGAGAAGACCGUCAUGAGGUCAGAUCAAUGCUGAGAAGAUUUCCAUCCACUGAUAACCAGCUCGUAAUAAUCACUGAAAUCAACAGAUAGUUGACCAUAUUUCAGCGAAAUUGUUCAUGCUCAUCCUAUUGAUCACACCCGUUUGUGUUUAUUUAAGAUUAAGUAUCCCAGCAGACUGGCACCAAUGUUUAGUGGAGGCCACUGGCCUGGUGCCAGCGGGCGCCGGGGGGCUGUGCAGGAGAGACGCUCUGACGCCAUCCCGCUGUGAUCCUGUAUUACUGUUUACAUUGAGCUCCCUGGGAAACGUCUGUCAUACCAGAGCUGUAAGUCAUACGCACACGCUAUAAUCCUCGAGCCAUUAACCGCUGCGUGUGAUGAUGGAUAGACUCCAUCAAAUGAAGCAGAAUUAACUCCAGAUGUGUGACGCACUGGAUGUGUUUACUAAUGAUUUACAGAACCAACAAUCCACUCAAAUUAACAUUAUAGCCCCUGGUGUUGUUUAGGCAGAACAGAACUUUAUAAUUGCAUUUACACUCAUGAUCGCAAUGUGUCAAAUGCAUAACCCAAAUUCAUAAUAACUACUGUAUUGUCAUUAUAUGGAAUAAAGAUGGCAUGAAAGGAUCUUUAAAAUAGAGUUUUCCCCAUUGCACAAUGUUUGAGGUAGGCUACAUCGAUUGUCUAACUUCAAACUACAAGAAUACAUUGUUUUUCCUAAAUGUACUAUUCAUUGGAACAUUCCCCAAUCAUUUAUUGACUAAACCAGUUUAGCCUCUGUUUAUAAGGAGCAUUGUUGUAUCUGCAUUGGCAAAUCUCUUCUCCAAUGCAAGCAAACACUCAGAAUAACUGAGCAUCUGCAUAGCAACACCAUAGCAACCGUCCCAGCAUCACAUUGGUAAGUUUUGCCCAGGUAAGUACCACUUUAAAAAUCUUACAAAAGUCUCUUGAAAUCAACGUAACUGAAGAUUAUUCGAUCAAUCCUGUCUGAGCUGGUUUUAAGUGUAGCAGCGAAUGUUUUGCAUAACAGUAAUGAGGCUUUUUAUUAUUCAGAAUUUCCCACCCAGGCAGUUCCGACUACAUUCUGUCUACAUAGUCCGCCAUGCUUUUAAGCUCUAUCAAUCACUGUCGCAUGCCACAGGUCAACACUGUGCUAAUGGAAAUGUAUUACGGGAUUUUAUGAGCAGAGCAAGCAUCCAGAAAAUGUAAUCUCUUCAGAUGGGCACGUGAUACUCAUGGGAGAUCUGUCAUCUCAGCAUUGGGUUACACUAGAGCAGGAACAGAACGGAACGGACCUCCAGGCCACACAGAGGGUCACAUACGAUGAACUCUGACCUCUGCAGGUGACCUCAAAUUCAGGACACAGCAGGCAGCUGGCGGCUGGUGAUGAGUGUAUAUUGUUGCUAGUUUGAGCCAUCUAUGCUACCAUUAGAGUUACAGUUGUGUUUCUACACUGAAAACACUCGUUCCCUUAAUUCAAUUGAGUAACUUAUAUUUAAGUUCACUUAACAUGUUGCCUAUGUAUAUUGAAUUGCUAAGUUGACUUUACAUUCUUAACUAUUGACACACAGUAUUAAAGCAAUUCAUGACCUCUCUGUCAACCACUGAAUAGCCUUGAUUGUCUACAGA